GAAAAUUGAACACCGGAAGUUAGAGUGGCAAGCGGAAGCUAAGAUAUCCUGCACCAACCCCGGAUACGCACCUUCUAAAUCCCCAGAAAAAAAGGUUGUGCAGACGACCAAGUUAAACUGGAAAUCAGAGUCGAAAAUAGAUAGUCGACUCUCGGAGGUUCAUGCGACAAGAUCGGCGUCUACACGGAGAUCGAAGAUCGAUCUAUCGAAGUCGGAACAUGAUCUUCGACCGGCCACGGUUUCUGACUCUGGUCGAGGAGUUAAACAUAACUCGGAGAGUUCUAGUUAAAUGAAAUAUGCGGCUCCGAGAGUUCUGCAGAUAAUAUACUUUUCUCUCAGAGUUUUAGUCGAUUAAAUAUUUAUAUGUAUAGCUCAGAUAGUUCCAG